GACAGAGGGGGCAAGCGUUGCUCGGAAUUACUGGGCGUAAAGGGCGCGUAGGCGGGAUGGCAAGUCGGUCGUGAAAUACCUCGGCUCAACUGAGGAGCGUCGAUCGAAACUGCCGUUCUUGAGGGUUGCAGAGGAGACUGGAAUUCCCGGUGUAGCGGUGAAAUGUGUAGAGAUCGGGAGGAACACCGGUGGCGAAGGCGGGUCUGUGGGCAAGGCCUGACGCUGAGGCGCGAAAGCGUGGGGAGCAAACGGG
rnacentral:rRNA from 1 species